rnacentral:rRNA from 1 species
GUGAGGAAUAUUGCGCAAUGGAGGCAACUCUGACGCAGCCAUGCCGCGUGCAGGAAGAAGGCGCUAUGCGUUGUAAACUGCUUUUAACCGGGAAGAAACCCCAGGACGUGUCCUGGGUUGACGGUACCGGAGGAAUAAGCACCGGCUAACUUCGUGCCAGCAGCCGCGGUAAUACGAAGGGUGCAAGCGUUAUCCGGAUUCAUUGGGUUUAAAGGGUGCGUAGGCGGAGCGUUAAGUCAGUGGUGAAAUCCUGCAGCUUAACUGUAGACUUGCCAUUGAUACUGGCGCUCUUGAGUGUGCUUGAAGUGGGCGGAAUGUGCCGUGUAGCGGUGAAAUGCUUAGAUAUGGCACAGAACACCAAUUGCGAAGGCAGCUCACUAAGGCGAUACUGACGCUGAGGCACGAAAGCGUGGGGAUCGAACAGGAUUAGAUACCCCGGUAGUCC